rnacentral:rRNA from 1 species
AUUGAACGCUGGCGGCAGGCCUAACACAUGCAAGUCGAACGAGAGGCGGACGGGUGAGUAAUGUCUGGGCAACUGCCCGAAGGCGGGGGAUAACUACUGGAAAAGGUAGCUAAUACCGCAUACCAUCAGAUGUGCCCCGAUGGGAUUAGCUAGUUGGUGGGGUAACGGCUCACCAAGGCGACGAUCCCUAGCUGGUCUGAGAGGAUGACCAGCCACACUGGAAGUGAGAAACGGUCCAGACUCCUACGGGAGGAAGCAGUGGGGAAUAUUGCACAAUGGGGGCAAGCCUGAUGCAGCCAUGCCGCGUGUAUGAAGAAGGCCGUCGGGUUGUAAAGUACUUUCAGCGGGGAGGCGGUACCCGCAGAAGAAGCACCGGCUAACUCCGUGCCAGCAGCCGCGGUAAUAC